GACUUAAAGUCCUGCCCAGAGCACCCAGAGCUUUUCCUCAUGUACUACUGGAUGACUCCACAAGCUUGGACACGAUGGUGGCCUACAGUCAAUGAAGUGGAAAUGCCAGAACUGCCUUGGCUGAGUUUUAAAGAAGGGGUGUGACAACCUCCGGAAAAGAGCCCUCCACUGGUAUCUGUCACUUGUGACAAGAGAAAGGGAUGAUCUGGCAUCUCAAGGACUACAACACCAGAUGGUCAACAUUCUGAGACCCCAUUUUCAGCCCAUUUGCCCUAUAACUGCUUCAAAAUGUUUUAGUUUUAAGAUGGUUCUUUAGGACGCUAGUCCACCAUCUUCCCCCUUGCUAGCAAGCUGUAAUAAAAAGACCCUUUCUCACCUACCACCUUGCCUCUUGACUGUUGGCUUGUCUUUGCAGCAAGUAAAGGACCCCUUUUGGCGGUAACAGUAAUAGUAUGGGUGGUUUCCUUAGGGUCCUCUGUUUCCUUUAGGUCCCUUUCUUAGAUGGGGUUCUGAGGUCAUGUGCAC
rnacentral:lncRNA from 1 species